GGAGAGGUGCUCGAGUGGUUGAAGAGGCACGCCUGGAAAGCGUGUAUACCCUAAAAGGGUAUCCGGGGUUCGAAUCCCCGUCUCUCCG
rnacentral:tRNA from 2 species